CCUACGGGUGGCAGCAGUGGGGGAUAUUGCACAAUGGGGGAAACCCUGAUGCAGCGACGCCGCGUGGGUGAAGAAGUAUUUCGGUAUGUAAAGCCCUAUCAGCAGGGAAGAAAGAAGACGGUACCUGACUAAGAAGCCCCGGCUAACUACGUGCCAGCAGCCGCGGUAAUACGUAGGGGGCGAGCGUUAUCCGGAUUCACUGGGUGUAAAGGGAGCGUAGACGGCCGUGCAAGCCAGGAGUGAAAGCCCGGGGCCCAACCCCGGGACUGCUCUUGGAACUGUGCGGCUGGAGUGCGGGAGGGGCAGGCGGAAUUCCUGGUGUAGCGGUGAAAUGCGUAGAGAUCAGGAGGAACACCGGCGGCGAAGGCGGCCUGCUGGACCGCGACUGACGUUGAGGCUCGAAAGCGUGGGGAGCGAACAGGAUUAGAUACCCUAGUAGUC
rnacentral:rRNA from 1 species